rnacentral:rRNA from 1 species
GACGAACGCUGGCGGCGUGCUUAACACAUGCAAGUCGAACGGAAAGGCCCUGCUUUUGUGGGGUGCUCGAGUGGCGAACGGGUGAGUAACACGUGAGUAACCUGCCCUUGACUUUGGGAUAACUUCAGGAAACUGGGGCUAAUACCGGAUAGGAGCUCCUGCUGCAUGGUGGGGGUUGGAAAGUUUCGGCGGUUGGGGAUGGACUCGCGGCUUAUCAGCUUGGUGGUGGGGUAGUGGCUGACCAAGGCUUUGACGGGUAGCCGGCCUGAGAGGGUGACCGGCCACGUUGGGACUGAGAUACGGCCCAGACUCCUACGGGAGGCAGCAGUGGGGAAUAUUGCACAAUGGGCGGAAGCCUGAUGCAGCAACGCCGCGUGCGGGAUGACCGCCUUCGGGUUGUAAACCGCUUUCGCCUGUGACGAAGAGUGAGUGACGGUAAUGGGUAAAGAAGCACCGGCUAACUACGUG